GGAAUAAUUGCCUAUAUAUCCCUCAAAAUAUGGAAAAUAUUUAUUUACCCCUAUAUUUUUUUUUCUUUCCAAUAUAUUUCUCAUAUCUUUCUCCGUUAUUUCAAAAUACCCCUACAAUUAUCAACCGUUAAAUUAACUUGGGUUAAAAAUAAGUUAAAUAUCUACCAGAGUUAAAAAAAUUAAAAUAUCUUUUUUAUCCUUAACUUAAGAGCAAAUAAGAAAUAUUUGUGACGGUAGAAGGGUAUAUUUGACAAAUAAGAAAAGUCAGUGAUGACAGAAAGAUAUUUUUGAAAGGAUAAAAAUAGUAAUUUCAUAGAAAUAACAACUAUUGCUAACAGUUUAUUAACAGAUUUUAACUCUAGAGAUAUAUUUGAAAUAGGUUGAAAUGUAAAAAAUGUAUUUUCAAUAUUAGCUUUCUAAGAGAGAUAAAUCAGAAAGUCGAAAACUUUUUAAGAGUAUAUAAAUAAUUGCCCCUGUUUUUUUAUCAAUCCCCUUAUCUUCUAGUCCUUAUGAAAAAUAUUAUGUUCAUUUUCACUAAACACCCAAUUGAAAAUUUUCCUUUUUUAGAAUAUGAUUGCACAGGUCUUUGAUUCGGCACCAAUCAGCCUCGUGCCACUUCGAACAUAAUUUGGCUCAACUCGACCUCUCCUACUGUUUUGAACAUCACUCGAUCCAACCUAACCUUUCGCCAUGAGGUAAGAUGCUGACCCUUUAAGCCAACACUAUAGAGGGUUGAUUUCUCUUCAUAGAAAUGUAUGAUCGAGUACAUAUAAUUAAUGCCAUUGAAGAAGAUGAGGAGUUCAAGCUAAAGAAAAGCCCAUUGUUGUAUCCUUGUUAUAAAGUUCCCUACACAAGCAAAGCGUAAUGAAGAGAGAAAUUAAAGUUGGAAGAAAAUGAAAUGAGCCAAUGAUAGAUGAUAGCGACAGACUAAUGAUAUUGUUCUAACAUAAGGUGCAUGCAUGUAGGCAUCUUACAACGCGAGAACUUCUAAAAGUAUUCUAACUCUAACUCUACAUAAUGCGUAACCUUGAUCCAAAUUGCGACGAAAGUCGAGUGGAGGGGUGUGCAACAUUAGGUCUCGUUGCUAGGAUAAUACCUAUUGUAUUUUGUAAAGUCGGUCGAAAAAAAGGCUCAUCGUAAGUCAUACAGCUUAGUGCAUGUUUUGUUCCAUGCACUUCUAUUGCUGUUUGCAGCAACAAUCAUCUAGAUUUCAAUUAUUUUGGCAUAAAAAGAAUUAAAAAUGAGAUUUUAAUGCUCAAAAGUAGCGGCACCAUCUCACGGGCUUAAGCAUUUCACUCGCCAAAACCCGUGAGGCGCUCGCCUUCCUCUGCGAAGAGAAGCAGGCUUGCCUCUAUCUUGUUAAUUCGGGUCUAACUCGCCCCAAGACUACAUUAUAAGGAAGAAAGAGAGAAAGAAAGCGAAGCACUUCGAGAAAUUGGAACUGCUGUAUUUCUUUGUUAUUUAAAAGAAAAAAAUUACAGGUUGUUGCAGUUGAAGGGUUUGGAAUGACCUGAAGCUUACUACUUCCAUUUAUAGGCCUCUGGCAAGUAAAAGUGGGGAAGGGAGCCAAAGGAGGAGACAACUACUAUUUGUCAAUUUCCAUCUAACUAUACUAACUGCAAUUUUUAGAAACUGGAUGAACUAUAACAAAAUAUGUCUUAGACCACGCUUUUUUAUGUAACGCUUUAUUCUACCGUCUUCAAUAUUUGGCAUGUACCGAAUCUCAUGAUUAAGUGUCGCUAAUAAAUAUGUUUUUAUUAAAUAUCAAUAAAAACUUUCCGACGCUAUAUUGAAGCGUCGGUAUAUUUAUCCCGACAUGUUUACUUAACAACUUUUUGCUCGACGCUUUUACAAGUAUUGGGUUAUUCUUGCUGACACUUUAAAGUGUCGCUCGAUCCUUUGAGUUUGUGCGAUUAUGAGGGCAGACAUAUAUGAUUUUGUAAUGCGCUCGACAACCGGCUCUAGUUUGAGCCUCCAUUUGGUCUAUAGACGAAAAUAUGGUAGAAAAUUUUUUAUUACAUUGCCUGUUUAAGAAAACAACUCUUAAAUAUAUAAUUGUAUUUCAUUUAACAACACUACACCGUACGUACGACAAUACUAAACAAAAAUUUUCUAUCUAAUUAAAUCUCUCUCUCUCUCUCUACUUGCACAAUCAAACAUACGUAGGGUUUGAUCUAAAGGCUAAAGUAGCCACAGUGCAAAAUUAAUUAUUGGGUUCAAAUGAAUCUAAGGAGAUUACAGUUUUUUUCUUUUCUUUCUGGCUAAAAUAUAGAAAGUUCACUUGUAAAUACUCAUUUUUUUUACCCUACAUUUUGCCCCAAAAAAUUUGAAAUUUUUUUUCAGAUGGUUGGGAACUAAUAAAGAGAGAAAAAUAAUUAAAUCGCUCUUACUUCUUCUAUAAGAAAGAAAAUAACUUUUAAUAUGUUUUUAUUAUUUUGAAUGAUAUUUUCGGUAUAAAUUAUAAGAAAUGAAUAAAAUAGUAAUGAAAUUCUGCUAGAAAUGGGCUAAAUGUAACAACUUGAAAUAUUGAGUGGUUAAAAUAUAAACUUUUGAAAGUUGAGGAAAAAAAUUUAAAAAUAAAUAUUCAUAAAAAAAAUUUCUGUAAUUUAGUUUUUUUUUUUUCUUCCCAAGUUGGAUACACAUGAUACAAUGUACAACUCAAGUACUACAAUUAAAGGUGGUCCCAUUCAACGCGUCUUCUAUAAGUUGCAACAUGAUCUGAAAAGGGAAAAGGCUUAAAACCAUGAUAGAAACAAACGAAAGAACGUGAACAUGUUCCUUGAUCAACAAUUCCCUUCUUUCCAUUUAUAAAAUUUAUUUUUUAAAUACUUUCAAUAGUGUAGAUCAAGUUUAACGGAGUCGAUCGUCGAUUUGGAAGCCGCAUCACUGAAAACAACGUGCAGACUCAAGCCAGGCCUCCAGAAUUGCUAUCAAUAGUAUACAGCCAAAUUCUCUCUCUCUCUCUUCUCUCUCUCUCUCUCUCUCUCUCUUCUCUCAUAUAUAUAUAUAUAUAUAUAUAUAUAUAUAUAUUAUAGAGGAGAGAGAGAGAGAGAGAGAGAGAGAGAGUCCGGCUACUAUACUCUAUUGAGUAUAGAGUUUUGUACACAUAAAUUUUUUACCGUUUGAUCUACCCUUUAACCAUUUUCACUUGUUAGAUUAUACUAUUCAACCACCCACCCACUCAACCUGACUAGGGGGCCACUAUCAAUCUAACCGUAACCACUCUCAUUCCGACUGCACAUCUUUUUAUCUAAACGGCCGAAAAGAUAUCAGUACAAAGGGUCUAUAAUCAUUAUGUAUAUAGUCCCCAACCUCUUAAUAAUAUUAUAUAUAAAUAUAUAUAUAUAUAAUAUAAUAUAUAUAUAUAUAUAUAUAUAAUAUAUAUAUAUAUAUAUAUAUAUAUAUAUAUAAUUGAGCUCUUAUGCUUUUAAACGUACCAAGUCAUUGGUGCUUGUAAGUUUUCGAUCCUUGCAUUAAAAGAUGUGCAGUUGGGAUGAUGUGGCCCCCCUAGGGUUGAGCGGGUCGUUGGUUGAAUAAUAUAAUCUAACGGGUGAAAAUGAUCAAAGGCAUAAAUCUAAUGUUAGAAAAUUUACAAGCACCAAGUAUUUGGUGCUUUUACAACCACCAUAGCCGGACCAUAUAUAUAUAUAUAUAUAUAUAUAUAUAUGGAUUGCUCUACAUCGUUAAAUAAUGAAACAAUUUAUAUAUGCUAUCAAAAACUGUCGAUUUUGUAAUCAUUUCAUCAUUAUGUAAUUAAUUUCUAAAAAUUAUUAUAUUUAAUUUCUAAACAUUUAAUCAAAUACUCUAAAUCAAAUUUAAUGGUUUCGAUCAUCGAUUUUGAAUCUCUAUCAUCAAAAUCAACUUGAUAAGAUGAUGGUCUUCGUCCUCCUUAAAGGAUAUAGUAGCUGAAUUAUCUCUCUCUCUCUCUCUCUAGAUAUAUAUAUUUAUAUGUAUGGAAAUUGCGAAAAAUAGUUCAUUCAUAUACGAAUUGAAAAUUUGAAGGAAAAAAAAAAUGAAAAACUGAAACAGAUGAAAAACAGAAGGAGCAAAACGGAUAAAAAAACUGAAGGGAAAAAAAAAAAAAAUUUAUAAAGAACUUUUAUCUCAGGAGUGUUUGGUUUAGUUAUUGGCUGGUACAGUGUGUUUAAGGGGGACGGGAAUAAGUAAAUUUUUAUCCAAAUAAAAAAUUAAUCUUAUUCUAGUUUAUUCUCAAAAUUAUAUUAAUUUCAUAAAUAAAUAAUUCUUGCUUAUUUUUGAACCAAAUGAUACUUUAGGAAAAAAUAAUUGCACACAUUUUCCGUGCACACAUGAACAGUACCCUCCGAAGAAUUUAUGACAAAUUCGUAUUUUAAAUCUCCAUCGGUCAAUUGCUCAACUGUCGCAUUUAUGAAAAGCUAAACUAUUAAGCUACAGAUUGAGAUUGAAACAUGCGAUGAAAUAGACGGUGAGAAAUAAUUAGGUUUCUCAUUAUUUAAUGAGUGAGCUGCACACUUCUCGAAGAAAGGUUUCUCAUUAUUUAAUUAACAAGGUUUUCUGUGUAAUAAUUAGGGUCAACUUCAAAUGCCACUUCGCUGAUUUCACAUUUUUUUCACUUUAGGACUUUAUAAUUUAAAUUGUAUUAAUUUAGUACUCUAUGAUUGUAUUUUUGAAAAAACUUCAAAUACCUCCCUUGUGGUUUCAUUUUUUCUCACUUUAGUACUCUGUGGUUUAUAGUGUAUCAUGUGGUUGUGCACUUUUUCACUUUAGUACUAUGUGGUUUAAAGUGUAUUAAAUUAGUACCUGUGAUUUCGCACUUUCUCACUUUAGUACCAUGUAGUUUCGUACUUUCUCACUUUAGUAUCCUGUGAUUUAAAAACCAUAGGGUACUAGCUUGGUACAAAAAUAAAACCACAUGGUACUAACAUGAUACAAAAAUAAAACUAUAGAGUACUAACUUCAUACACUUUAAACCACAGGGUAAUAAAAUGAGAAAGUACAAAACCACAGCGUACUAACUUGAUACACUUUAAACCAUAUGAUACUAAAAUGAAAAAAUACGAAACCACAGGGUUUUUUUUUAAGUUUUUCUUGUAUUUUUAACUCUCUGUUAAAUCUUAUACAAAAAACUUCAGAUACCCCACCUAUAUAUAUUUUAUGGAAUAUUCAUUUUAGUACUAUGUGAUUUACUGAAUUUUUAUUUUGGUACCCUUUGAUUUUAACUUUAUCACUAAUAUAACGGAAAAAAUUAACAGAGGAAAUAACAGAAAGAGAAAAAUGAAACAUGAUACUAAAGUAAUAUAUUUUAAACCACAGGAUACUAAUGUGAGAAAGCGCGAUGGUAUUUAAAGUUUUUCCUAAUAAUUAUUUUAUAUAGAGAUUAACAACGCCUAAGCAAUUUUUUUAUGUUUUUAAGCAUUAUUUCAAUAAAGUUAUUACCUUAUCUUUUGUUAAAUCCUUCCUCAUAUCAAUAUUCAUUAUUUGAGUUAAUUAAAGCUCUGAAGCAAAGUCCAACGAGUCUAAUGAAACUCAGAAUGAAAAAAAUUAACCCAUACGUUGAGUUUUUAGUAUUAUACUUUUUCUCAAAAUUUUGAAUCAUUGAUUUUUUUUUUCUUUUAACAUCAUUUCAUGCAAAUAAAAUCAAUUUUCAAAACUUAUAAAAUUUGGUUCGAAUAUUGUAAACAAUUUCUAGUUUUUUUUUACUUUUUUACCUGGUGAACGAGUAACUUCAAAAUGGGCGACUGAUAAUAAAAAUUUCAUAAAAAAUAAUGAUAGAAAACUCAAAAAUUGAAAUCUAAAUUCGUUGUUCAUCUUUAACCAACUUAUUAGGUUGGUUUCCUCUUCUUCGAUCUAUAAUGUUGAAUGACAUGAAUUAUGUUAUGAUAUUAGAUACAAAAUGAAAUCUUAAAUUAUAUAUAAAGGGUAAACUUCAAAUACCACCCCUGUGGUUUCAUGUUUUCUCACUUUAGUACUCUAUAGUUUCAUUUUUUUCUUUUUAUUGUCACCCUCGUCAACUCUUUAUUAAAUCAUAUACAAAGAACUUCAGAUACUUCAUCUAUGGUUUAUCGAAUAUUCACGUUAGUAUCCAGUAGUUUACUAAAUUUUCAUUUUAGUAUACUUUAUAUAUGGUUUUAACUUUGUCACUGAUUUAACGAAAAACUUAACGAAGAUAGUAACGAAAAGAGAAAAACAAAAUCACAGAAUACUAAAGUGAUUAAUUUUAAACCAUAGGAUAUUAAAAUGAGUAAGCGCGAAAUUACAAAGGUGGUAUUUGAUGUUUUCUCGUAUAUAAAUGUUAAAAGUAUCUACACAUAAUAAUAAGUUUUAAGAUCGCAUGCUAAAUACAUCUUAGUACGUGAUGCUGUUACGUAUUAGCUACGCAAUAUUAUGUAUUGGAUUUCGUGUGAUCUUAUUUUGAAUAUAACGUGAAGGAUAUGGCCACUUAAUAUUUUAAAUUUAAACUAAUUAAAAUUGGUUUAAGCUUUGAGUGUACGUGUAAAUGUACAUAUAAAUAUAUAUUUAUCUCAAAUCAAUAUAAAUUAAAUCUACAAUAAAAAUUAUAUUUUAUAAAUUUAUAUAGUAUAUUUUAUUAGAAAAUAUCUGUAAUAUCUUAUAUUAUUUUUUUUAUAUACAUUGAAUAUUUUUAUAUAUUUUUCGAAAUAUGAUGACUCUAAAAUUUAAGUAUAUGUUUUAUACUAAAAACAUCAAGAUUUAAUUCACAUUUACUUUAAAAUUUAAAACUCAAUUUUGAUACACUAUAAUUAAAAAAUUUUAAUUGUUAAUUCAAAUUUGAUAUUUAAAAUUUAAUUUAAUUCAUGAUUUAAACUCAAAUUUUAAUUCUAAUGUAAAAUAAAUGGAUAAGAAUGUUAUUUUUUAAUAGAUUAAUCAUAACCUUUUAUUUUUAUUUGAGAUAUUUUUUAACAAAUUAAUCAUAACCGUUCGUAGGAUUAGAUUUAUAGAUGGAUAGGAAUGCUAUUUUCUAACAGAUUAAUUAUAACCGUUCGUUCUUAUUUAAUUUUUUAUUCCAUCCUAUACUCUUUUAUAUAUAGUAUAAAUAGACUAGAAUACUAUUAAUAGCACAAAGUUAUUGGUGCUCUUAGGUAUAUAGUAUUUGGAUGAUUAUUCCAAGGAUAUAUAGUUACAAAUUCAGUAAUAAAACGAAACUAGAGUAAAAAUUUUUAUUUAGAUGAAAAUUGGGUUGUUUCGGAGGAGAAUAACGUAAAUAGUGUUUGGAUAGUUAGAUUCGAAUGACAGGAAUAAAAGUAAUUAUAAUUUUAAAUUAAUAAUAUUUUAUCUAAUUAAUUAAUAUCAAAAUAUUAAUUAAAAAUAAUUUAAUAAAUUAAAAUAUUUAUUAGCUAUGAAUAUUGUAUAAGAUAAUAAAAAAAUACAUUAAUAAUUAAUUAUAUUAAUUAAUUGUUUAGUUAAUUAGAAAAUAUAACUUAACUUUUUAAUUAAUUAGUAUAUUAUUAAUUUAAAAUUUUAAUUAGUUAAUAUAAUAAAUUAAUUAAAUAAUUAAUAUAAAAAUUAAUUAUUAAAUAAACAUGUUCCACCCUUAUUCUCUCUUAUUCCCAAUCAUGAAGAACUACAAUUUUUGAAUUCAAAAAAUAGAGUUGGGGUAUAAGGGUUUAUUCCCCUCUUUAUACCCGAACCAAACAUUACCUUAGUAUUGUUUGGUUCGAGGAUAAACAAAAAAUGGCUAUUCCAGGGAUAGGUAUAAAUUGAGGUAUAAACGGGGAUUAGAUCAAUUUUGCGUUCGGAUGAAAAUUGGGUUAUUCGAAUAAAAAAAAUAGCGUUUGGUUAGUUAAGAUGGAAUAAGAAAGAUAGUGGGUUUUAUAAAUAAAAAAUAAUCAUAUUAUCCUCUUAUUAUAUUUAAAUUUAAAUUUUUAAAUUUUUAAAUAUAUAUUUUUAAAUUUAAAAUUUUAACUUUGAAAUUUCAAAUUUGAAAUUUAAAAUCUCAAAUUUUAAUUCAAAAUUUUAAAUUUUAAUUUCAAAGUUUAAAUUUUAAGAUCAAAUUUAAAUUUGAAAAAUAUAAAUAUAAAUUUAAUUUCAAAAUUAAAUAUCAAAAAGAAAAAAUUUAAAUUUAAAUUUAAAAUUUAAAAUUAUAAACUUUAAUUUUGAGAUUAUAAAUUAUAAAUUUUAAAAUUAAAUUUUUAAUUUUUAAAUUUUUAAAAAAAGAAUAGGGUGGGACAAUUAAUAAAAAUAAUUUAUUAUAAUAAAUUUAUAAAUUUUUUAAAAAUUCUACUUAAACUUAAAUUUAAUAAAAAGAUUUAUUAUAAUAUUUAAUAUAAUUUACUAUAAAUUUAUAUAUAUUAAAUAUAAUAGAUAAUUAUUAAUAUAGUAUAAUUAAUAAUUUUAUAAUAAAAUAAUGUAUUAUAAUAUAUAAAUUUUAAAACUUUAAAUUUAAUUUUUAAAUUUUAAAUAAGAAUAGGGUGAGAACAAUUUAAUAAAAACUAUUUAUUAUAAGAAAUUAUAAAUUUUUUUAAAAUUCUACUUAAACUUAAAUUUAAUAAAAAGAAUUUAUUAUAAUAUUUAAAUAUAAUUUAUUAUAAAUUUUAUUAUAAUAUUUAAAUAUAAAUAAUAUGUAUUUAAUAUAGUACAAUUAAUAAUUUUAUAAUAAAAUAAUGUAUUAUAAAUAUAUAAUUUUUAUAUAAUUAGGUUUUAUCUCAAUUUUUAAUUUUAAAUUUUUACAAAUAAGAAUAGGGGUUGAGAACAAUUAAUUAAAACUAUUUUAUUAAAUAAUUAUAAAUUUUAAAAUUCUACUUAAACUAACUUUAAUAAAAAGAAUUUAUUAUAAUAUUUAAAUAUAAUUUUAUUAUAAAUUUUAUUUAUAAUAUAUUAAUAUUUAAAUAAUAUUGUAUUAAUAUCAGUACAUCAUUAAUAAUUUUAUAAUAAAAAUAAUUGUAUUAUAUAUAUAAUAUAUUAUAUUUAUAUAAUUUAUUAUUUUUAAUUUAUAAUUUUAAUUAAAGUUUUUGAAAUUAAGGCAUCUGGAAUAGUGCUAUUCUACAAAAUUUGGUGGAAUGGCAAAUCUCCUUGCUAUUCCGGGAUUAAUCGGAAAUAGCAAGGUUGCCGGAAUAAAAUUAAUUCCGGCCAAAAUUUCACCCCGUUUGCGGAAUAGCGGGGAUCAACUUUCGUAUAUCCCCGCUUAUCCCCCAACCAAACGGGUUAGGUUUAGUGGUAUGGAUUAUCGAUUUGGAAGCUCUAUCAUCGAAAAUGACUUAUGAGUACAAAGGCGAUCGUAGUCAUCAUAGUAUAGUUGCCGGACUCUCUCUCUCUCCCCCUAUAUAUAUAUAUAUAUAUAUAUAUAUAUAUAUAUAUAAUUAAGUUCCUAUGUUUUUAAAAGUAUUAAGUCAUUGGUACUUGUAGGCUUUCAAUCCUUGAGUAAAGGAUCUGCUGUUAAGAUGAUAGUGAUCUCCUAGGGUUGAGUGGAUAGUGGUGGAAUAGUAUGAUCCAACGGAUAGAAAUGGUCAAAAGGGUAAAUUUAAUGACAGAAAACUUACAAGCAUGCAUCUAGUGCUAGGUGCUUUUACAAGCACUAUAGCUGAACCCUCCCUCUCUUUAUAUAUAUAUAGAGAGAGAGAGUGAGAGAGUUUUACUACUAUACUAUCAAUAGUACCAAACGCUUAGCACUACUAAGUAUUCCACCACUAGAUCUACCCCUUUACCAUUUUCAUCCGUAAGAUUAUACCAUUCAACCAACCACCUACUCAAUCCUAGGAGACCAUUAUUAUUCUAACCACACAUCUUUUCAUCCAAGUGACGAAAAUUUUCGUGCACUAAUAUUCUUGGCAGAUUGACUUCACUCUAUU
rnacentral:lncRNA from 1 species